rnacentral:rRNA from 1 species
AUUGAACGCUGGCGGCAGGCUUAACACAUGCAAGUCGAACGGUAGCACRAAGGAGCUUGCUCCUUGGGUGACGAGUGGCGGACGGGUGAGUAAUGCUUGGGAAUCUGGCUUAUGGAGGGGGAUAACUACGGGAAACUGUAGCUAAUACCGCGUAAUAUCUUAGGAUUAAAGUGUGGGACCGCAAGGCCACAUGCCAUGAGAUGAGCCCAAGUGGGAUUAGGUAGUUGGUGGGGUAAAGGCCUACCAAGCCGACGAUCUCUAGCUGGUCUGAGAGGAUGACCAGCCACACUGGAACUGAGACACGGUCCAGACUCCUACGGGAGGCAGCAGUGGGGAAUAUUGCACAAUGGGGGGAACCCUGAUGCAGCCAUGCCGCGUGAAUGAAGAAGGCCUUCGGGUUGUAAAGUUCUUUCGGUAGCGAGGAAGGUGGUUGUUUUAAUAGAACAAUCAAUUGACGUUAACUACAGAAGAAGCACCGGCUAACUCCGU